AAAUCGUGAUUCAAUGGAUUUCAACUAUUCAGGGGGAAUUAUCGAGAGAUUUGGUUUUAUUAAGUUAAAAGAUGGCAACAACGGAAGAUUUAGCUAUCGCUAUAGGAUCACCUGGACGAUUUCAAGUUGUGUUAUGUUUAAUGGUGUCUGUCUCGUCUUUCUUCGUCAGCUGGGGUCAUCUUGGAAUGGCUUUUUAUGCUGCGGAAACUGAUCAUCACUGUCUUCUUCAAACUCCUCAACGAACAUUAAUGAUUUCAUACCGACAAUAAAAGAAAACGGCAAAGAAGUCUUAGAUCGCUGUCAUCUUUAUUCCGACGUCAAUAAAACUACGAAAAUAUCCUGUACUCAUGGUUGGACAUAUAAUCUUUCUGGUAGAGAAACAACAAUUAUUUCAGAGUGGGAUCUUGUCUGUGAUGACGUUUACAAAAGUAACAUUGCCACUGUACUAUAUAGUUGUGGAAUGAUGUUAGGAGUACUAUUUG